rnacentral:rRNA from 1 species
ACUCCUACGGGAGGCAGCAGUAGGAAUUUUCCGCAAUGGACGAAAGUCUGACGGAGCAAUGCCGCGUGAGUGAUGAAGGUUUUCGAAUCGUAAAGCUCUGUUGUAAGGGAAGAAUAGCAAGAAUAGGAAUGAUUCUUGUCUGACGGUACCUUACCAGAAAGCCACGGCUAACUACGUGCCAGCAGCCGCGGUAAUACGUAGGUGGCAAGCGUUAUCCGGAAUUAUUGGGCGUAAAGCGCAUGUAGGCGGCUUUUAAGUCUGAUGUGAAAGCCAGUUGGCUCAACCACUGAAUUGCAUUGGAUACUGGAAAGCUAGAAUCUUGGAGAGGUAAGUGGAAUUUCAU